rnacentral:rRNA from 1 species
AUAAGGUUUGACCUGCCCACUGAUGUUAUUAUUAAAGGGCCGCAGUAUUUUGACUGUGCAAAGGUAGCAUAAUCAAUAGUCUCUUAAUUGGGGGCUGGAAUGAAUGGUUAGACGAGAAAAUAGUUGUCUUUUCAUAGAAAUUGAAUUUUACUUUUAAGUGAAAAGGCUUAAAUAUUUAAAUGGGACGAUAAGACCCUAUAAAACUUAAUAGUUACUAAUAGCCUUAUAAGUUUGUUUAAUUUAUGGUCUUUAGUGUCUAUUUUAUUGGGGCGAUAGGAAUAUAUUAAUUAUAAAUCUGUUUCUUUAGUUUAAUAAUUUUAAUUAGGAUUUUGAUCUUGUAUUACUGAUUAUAAGAUCGAGUUACUUUAGGGAUAACAGCGUAAUUUUUUCAGAGAGUUCUUAUCGAAGAGAGUAGUUGCGACCUCGAUGUUGAAUUAAAAUUUCUUUUAGGUGUAGUAGCUUAAUUAGUAGGUCUGUUCGACCUU